GCAUGCAAGUCAAACGGGAUGUAGCAAUACAUCUAGUGGCGAACGGGUGAGUAACGCGUGGAUGAUCUACCUACGAGAUGGGGAUAACUAUUAGAAAUAGUAGCUAAUACCGAAUAAAGUCAAUUAAUUUGUUAAUUGAUGAAAGGAAGCCUUUAAAGCUUCGCUUGUAGAUGAGUCUGCGUCUUAUUAGCUAGUUGGUAGGGUAAAUGCCUACCAAGGCGAUGAUAAGUAACCGGCCUGAGAGGGUGAACGGUCACACUGGAACUGAGAUACGGUCCAGACUCCUACGGGAGGCAGCAGCUAAGAAUCUUCCGCAAUGGGCGAAAGCCUGACGGAGCGACACUGCGUGAAUGAAGAAGGUCGAAAGAUUGUAAAAUUCUUUUAUAAAUGAGGAAUAAGCUUUGUAGGAAAUGACAAAGUGAUGACGUUAAUUUAUGAAUAAGCCCCGGCUAAUUACGUGCCAGCAGCCGCGGUAAUACGUAAGGGGCGAGCGUUGUUCGGGAUUAUUGGGCGUAAAGGGUGAGUAGGCGGAUAUAUAAGUCUAUGCAUAAAAUACCACGGCUCAACUGUGGAACUAUGUUGGAAACUAUAUGUCUAGAGUCUGAUAGAGGAAGUUAGAAUUUCUGGUGUAA
rnacentral:rRNA from 1 species